rnacentral:rRNA from 1 species
GACGAACGCUGGCGGCGUGCUUAACACAUGCAAGUCGAACGGAAAGGCCUGCUUUCCCUUGUGGAUUGCGGGUACUCGAGUGGCGAACGGGUGAGUAACACGUGAGUGAUCUGCCCCCAACUUGGGUAUAAGCCUGGGAAACUGGGUCUAAUUCCCGAUAGGACUGCAGGGUGGUGCCUGUGGUGGAAAACGAUUUUCUAGUGGUUGGGGAUGAGCUCGCGGCCUAUCAGCUUGUUGGUGGGGUAAUGGCCUACCAAGGCGGCGACGGGUAGCCGGCCUGAGAGGGUGGACGGCCACAUUGGGACUGAGAUACGGCCCAGACUACUACGGGAGGCAGCAGUGGGGAAUAGUGCACAAUGGGCGGAAGCCUGAUGCAGCGACGCCGCGUGGGGGAUGACGGCCUUCGGGUUGUAAACUCCUUUCGACCGCGAGGAAGCCACCUGGUUGGAAGGGUGGUGACGGUAGUGGUAGAAGAGGCACCGGCUAACUACGUG